rnacentral:rRNA from 1 species
CGGGGGAGGAAGCUUGCUUUCUCCUGCCGGCGACCGGCGCACGGGUGAGUAACACGUAUGCAACCUGGCCGUCACAGGUGGAUAACCGGAAGAAAUUCCGACUAAUACAGCAUAACACUCCUGAGGGACAUCCUUCGGGAGUCAAAGGAGGCGACUCCGGUGACGGAUGGGCAUGCGGCGCAUUAGGUAGUUGGUAGGGUAACGGCCUACCAAGCCGACGAUGCGUAGGGGUUCUGAGAGGAAGGUCCCCCACAUUGGAACUGAGACACGGUCCAAACUCCUACGGGAGGCAGCAGUGAGGAAUAUUGGUCAAUGGCCGGAAGGCUGAACCAGCCAAGUCGCGUGAGGGAAUAAGGCCCUAUGGGUCGUAAACCUCUUUUGUCAGGGAGCAAAGGCGUCCACGUGUGGACGAGAGGAGAGUACCUGAAGAAAAAGCAUCGGCUAACUCCGUGCCAGCAGCCGCGGUAAUACGGAGGAUGCGAGCGUUAUCCGGAUUUAUUGGGUUUAAAGGGUGCGUAGGCGGAGUGUCAAGUCAGCGGUAAAAUUUCGGGGCUCAACCCCGUCGUGCCGUUGAAACUGACGCCCUUGAGUGAGUGAGAAGUAAGCGGAAUGCGUGGUGUAGCGGUGAAAUGCAUAGAUAUCACGCAGAACUCCGAUUGCGAAGGCAGCAUACCGGCGCCCGACUGACGCUGAGGCACGAAAGCGUGGGUAUCGAACA